rnacentral:sRNA from 1 species
ACGGAAAAUGGCUGCCUCCCUGCGGCCGCCGCCGCUCCAGGGGCUCCAGGGUCGAAGCCAUAGGGGAAGCCGCUUCUCGGUUACCUCGGCCAGCUUGGCUUCCGUGGAGGCCGCUCCUCGCUUUCUGAGGCUCAAAUGCAAGCCACCGCCCGGAAGGCCGCCCAUCUGAGGAGCGCAACCGCCGGCCCACCGCUGCCCUACCGCUGCCCUGUCCAGAGAAACGGAGACCUAAGAAGUGACUUGCUCAGGGUCACAUAGCUCAGCAGUGGCGGCCGCUAAUCGGAAAUAGCUCUCCUGUUGUGGUAUCCUCUGCGUUUUCCACUCCAGUAUUUCUUCCCUAGAAAAUGGGAUCCUUGUUUUCAUCUUAUAUCUCAUGCAGCGCCUAACAUAGUCACCUGCACCUGGAAUGGAUAAAAGUGGCAGUUUUUGUUUCUUCCCAUGAGGUUGUGUAUCUGGAAUAAGAACCAGGAAAUUAAUCUAGACUAAGACAUUUCUAAGGACCUGGAAUGGCUUUGGGGAGCACCAGGAGGACCUGAAAAGAGUAUUUGAGGGCCUAGAGGGACAGA